GUCGUACGCUUCUUUUUCCACCGGAGCUUGCUCCACCGGAAAAAGAGGAGUGGCGAACGGGUGAGUAACACGUGGGUAACCUGCCCAUCAGAAGGGGAUAACACUUGGAAACAGGUGCUAAUACCGUAUAACAAUCGAAACCGCAUGGUUUUGAUUUGAAAGGCGCUUUCGGGUGUCGCUGAUGGAUGGACCCGCGGUGCAUUAGCUAGUUGGUGAGGUAACGGCUCACCAAGGCCACGAUGCAUAGCCGACCUGAGAGGGUGAUCGGCCACAUUGGGACUGAGACACGGCCCAAACUCCUACGGGAGGCAGCAGUAGGGAAUCUUCGGCAAUGGACGAAAGUCUGACCGAGCAACGCCGCGUGAGUGAAGAAGGUUUUCGGAUCGUAAAACUCUGUUGUUAGAGAAGAACAAGGAUGGGAGUAACUGUUCAUCCCUUGACGGUAUCUAACCAGAAAGCCACGGCUAACUACGUGCCAGCAGCCGCGGUAAUACGUAGGUGGCAAGCGUUGUCCGGAUUUAUUGGGCGUAAAGCGAGUGCAGGCGGUUUCUUAAGUCUGAUGUGAAAGCCCCCGGCUCAACCGGGGAGGGUCAUUGGAAACUGGGAGACUUGAGUGCAGAAGAGGAGAGUGGAAUUCCAUGUGUAGCGGUGAAAUGCGUAGAUAUAUGGAGGAACACCAGUGGCGAA
rnacentral:rRNA from 1 species